UACGUAGGGGGCGAGCGUUGUCCGGAUUUAUUGGGCGUAAAGCGCGUGUAGGCGGCCAGGUAGGUCUGCUGUGAAAACUCGAGGCUCAACCUCGAGACGUCGGCGGAAACCAUCUGGCUAGAGUCCGGAAGAGGAGAGUGGAAUUCCUGGUGUAGCGGUGAAAUGCGCAGAUAUCAGGAAGAACACCCGUGGCGAAGGCGGCUCUCUGGGACGGUACUGACGCUGAGACGCGAAAGCGUGGGGAGCGAACAGG
rnacentral:rRNA from 1 species